rnacentral:rRNA from 1 species
UCCUGGCUCAGAUUGAACGCUGGCGGCAUGCCUUACACAUGCAAGUCGAACGGCAGCGGACCUUCGGGUGCCGGCGAGUGGCGAACGGGUGAGUAAUAUAUCGGAACGUACCUUUCAGUGGGGGAUAACGUAGCGAAAGUUACGCUAAUACCGCAUAUUCUGUGAGCAGGAAAGCAGGGGAUCGCAAGACCUUGCGCUGAUUGAGCGGCCGAUAUCAGAUUAGCUAGUUGGUGAGGUAAAGGCUCACCAAGGCGACGAUCUGUANCGGGUCUGAGAGGAUGAUCCGCCACACUGGAACUGAGACACGGUCCAGACUCCUACGGGAGGCAGCAGUGGGGAAUUUUGGACAAUGGGCGCAAGCCUGAUCCAGCCAUGCCGCGUGAGUGAAGAAGGCCUUCGGGUUGUAAAGCUCUUUCGGCCGGGAAGAAAUCGCACGGGUUAAUACCCUGUGUGGAUGACGGUACCGGAAUAAGAAGCACCGGCUAACUACGUG